UUGACCUCAAAUCAGGUAGGACUACCCGCUGAACUUAAGCAUAUCAAUAAGCGGAGGAAAAGAAACUAACAAGGAUUCCCCUAGUAACUGCGAGUGAAGCGGGAAAAGCUCAAAUUUAAAAUCUGGCGGUCUUGCGGCCGUCCGAGUUGUAAUCUGGAGAAGCGUUUAUCCGCGUCGGACCGUGUACAAGUCUUCUGGAAGGGAGCGUCGUAGAGGGUGAGAAUCCCGUCUUUGACACGGACAACCGGUGCUUUUGGGAUGCGCUCUCGAA
rnacentral:rRNA from 1 species